rnacentral:ncRNA from 1 species
GAUCCCGGGAGAGAUCGUAACGACACCGAAGGGGCGAAAAACUCUCAGGUAAAAGGACCGGGAA